GUGGGGAAUAUUGGACAAUGGGCGAAAGCCUGAUCCAGCCAUGCCGCGUGUGUGAAGAAGGUCUUCGGAUUGUAAAGCACUUUAAGUUGGGAGGAAGGGCAGUAAGUUAAUACCUUGCUGUUUUGACGUUACCGACAGAAUAAGCACCGACUAACUUCGUGCCAGCAGCCGCGGUAAUACGAAGGGUGCAAGCGUUAAUCGGAAUUACUGGGCGUAAAGCGCGCGUAGGUGGUUUUGUAAGUUGGAGGUGAAAUCCCCGGGCUCAACCUGGGAACUGCCUCCAAAACUGCAUGACUAGAGUACGGUAGAGGGUAGUGGAAUUUCCUGUGUAGCGGUGAAAUGCGUAGAUAUAGGAAGGAACACCAGUGGCGAAGGCGACUACCUGGACUGAUACUGACACUGAGGUGCGAAAGCGUGGGGAGCAAACAGGAUUAGAUACCCGUGUAGUCC
rnacentral:rRNA from 1 species